rnacentral:rRNA from 1 species
UCGAACGCCCCGCAAGGGGAGUGGCAGACGGGUGAGUAACACGUGGGAACAUACCCUUCGGUACGGAACAACUCGGGGAAACGCGAGCUAAUACCGUAUACGCCUUGGCGGGGAAAGAUUUAUCGCCGAAGGAUUGGCCCGCGUCCGAUUAGCUAGUUGGUGAGGUAAUGGCUCACCAAGGCGACGAUCGGUAGCGUGGUCUGAGAGGAUGGCCCAGCCACAUUGGGACUGAGACACGGCCCAA